GUCCCACAACGGCUUCCUGAAGUGGCACACAUAAAAACAUUGGAGCA
rnacentral:ncRNA from 1 species